rnacentral:rRNA from 1 species
UCGGGAAUUUUGGGCAAUGGGCGAAAGCCUGACCCAGCAACGCCGCGUGAAGGAUGAAGUAUUUCGGUAUGUAAACUUCGAAAGAAUAGGAAGAAUAAAUGACGGUACUAUUUAUAAGGUCCGGCUAACUACGUGCCAGCAGCCGCGGUAAUACGUAGGGACCAAGCGUUGUUCGGAAUCACUGGGCGUAAAGCGCACGUAGGUGGAUAGUUAAGUGAGGGGUGAAAGCCCGAGGCUCAACCUCGGAAUUGCCUCUCAUACUGGCUGUCUCGAGUCCGAGAGAGGUGGGUGGAAUUCCUAGUGUAGAGGUGAAAUUCGUAGAUAUUAGGAAGAACACCGGUGGCGAAGGCGGCCCACUGGCUCGGUACUGACGCUGAGACGCGAAAGCGUGGGGAGCAAACAGGAUUAGAUACCCUCGUAGUCCUGAGCGGGCUGGCAAGGCGCAU